rnacentral:rRNA from 1 species
UACGUAGGGGGCAAGCGUUGUCCGGAAUUAUUGGGCGUAAAGGGCUCGUAGGCGGUCUGUCGCGUCGGGAGUGAAAACUCAGGGCUUAACCCUGAGCCUGCUUCCGAUACGGGCAGACUAGAGGUAUGCAGGGGAGAACGGAAUUCCUGGUGUAGCGGUGAAAUGCGCAGAUAUCAGGAGGAACACCGGUGGCGAAGGCGGUUCUCUGGGCCGAUACUGACGCUGAGGAGCGAAAGCGUGGGGAGCGAACAGG